rnacentral:rRNA from 1 species
GACGAUGGGGUUGAUAGGUCACAGGUGUAAAGGCAGUAAUGUCAUAGCCAAGUGAUACUAAUUAUCCGAAGAGCUUAUCUAU